rnacentral:lncRNA from 1 species
AUCAGUUUGCCCCACGUGGGUCUCAGUCUUAAUCCUCGUUUUACAGAUGAGGUAACUGAGGCCCAAAGAAGUGAAGUAGCUUGCCCAAGGUCACCCAGACAGGUGGUGGAUACAAAACAUUCAAAACACAGUGAUUAAUUCAACUAGCCCCCAGAACAGAACCUUCCCUCUACUCCUGACCACAGCCCUUGCAUACCUAUUUAAAAUUAUAAAUUAGUUAUAUUAAUAUCUACCCCUUCCUCUGGACUAACCUCUUUGUGGACAAGGAACACAUCUACCAACUCUGUUAUAAAGCCUCAUCCAAGAAUUUAGUACAAUGCCCUGCACAUAGUAAGUGCUCAGCACAGCUUAGUGGAAAGAUCACAGUCUUGGGAGUCCCUUUGGCCCUCCCCCAGCCAAAAAGUCAGUCCCCCAUCCCAAAACAGGAAUGGGGGUCCACGAGAGAGGAGAAGGAAAGAGACCAGUCACACACCACCCUUUCCAAUGCCACAGGAAGACACCUGCAAAAUCCUUCACAGAUUUAAGGCUCUGGAAUGAAGAAGGAGCAGCACCCAUGACUAUAGACAGAUGCCGACCUGUGCCCUUACCAGGCCUUUCUGGGAUUCCUAUCCAGGAGUUUGGCAGCAAGGAUGAAACUGAAUUUGCCACUUGGAGUUUGAGGUCUCACCUAGGCCAGAUGUCUUCUUGGUCCCUAAUUGGUGUUCUCCUUUCCCAGGCAAGGAAACCAAGUCCAAGUGUCUCAGGUGAGAGCCUUGCAAAGGCCCAUUUGCUCCAGCCCAAGUUACGGUUCAGGAGAGAUUUCAUUGAAAAUGACUCUUGAGAAAACCAAAGUCCGAUCCUUUUAAAAGGCUGGAAAGGCUUAAGUCACAAAAUCAUCCAUUUCCUGAAACUCUAAAUUGUAAGCUCUUUGUUGGUAGGGAACGUGUCUACCAACUCUGUUGUACUGUACUCUCCCAAGUGCUUAGUUCAGUGCUCUGCACACAGUAAGCCCUCAAUAAAUACCACUGAUGAUGAUAAUGGAUAAUGGAAAGAGCAUGGACCUGGGUUCUAAUCCCAGCUCUGCCACUUGUCUGCUGUCAAGUCAUUUAACCUUUUGGUGCCUCAGUUUCCUCAACUGUAAAAUGGGAAUUAAAUACCCAUUCUCCCUCCUACAUAGAUUGUGAACAUGAUGAGAGACAAGGGACUGUGUCCAAUCUGAUUAUCUUGUAUCUACCCAGUGCUUAGUACAGUGCUUGGCACAUAGUAAGCACUUAACAAAUGUCAUUAUUAUUAUUAUUCCCUGCAGGGAAUAAUUUACUAUUCUGUUUCCCUAGCCCUCAGCUUCCCACAUUGUCUGUCUCCCCAAGCAGCCUGGCAUAUUCUGAAUUGGCAUGGCUGCCUAAUCAUGAAGAUGAUACCCUUCAGAUUUUGCUCUACAAGAGUCCAACAUAACCUGCCUUCUGUUGCUCCCUUUCUAGUCAGUAAUAAUAAUAAUAAUUAUGGUAUUUGUUAAACCUUUACUAUGUGCCAAGCACUGUUCUAAGCACUGGGGUAAAUACAAGGUCAUCAGGUUGUCCCAUGUGGGGGCUCAUAGCCUCUAUCCCCAUUUUACAGAUGAGGCAACUGAGGCACAGAGAAGAUAAGUGGCUCGCCCAAAGUCACACAGCAGACAAGUGACAGAGCUGGGAUUAGAACCCACAUCCUCUGACUCCCAAGCCUGUGCUCUUUCCACUAAGCUACGCUGCUUCAAUGCCACCGGGUAGCUGGAAAUCUGGUUCAUCACAUCACAGAAUCUCAGAGAACUGCACAAAUCGGAAAUGCCAGAUUCACUCUUCAAAUGGUGGCAGUUCCCUGGGCUCUAGGGAGUUGCGGGGCACAGGGUUAAAAAGGGAGAAGCUAGGAAGUUCCUUCCCUACCACACACAGUUCUUGAGAAAAGACAGUGAGUUGGGGGACAGGAGUUCAAGAGCAAAGACUAUGCUAGUCCAGCUCUUUGUCUCCCUCCCACUAGGCCUAGAUUUAAAAUGAAGUGCUGUGUGAUCUCAUCCUGUGAAUGAAGUGCUCUUAUCCUUCACGAAGGAAUGAGAUGCUCAGGAGAGACCCAUAAUGGCAGAGAUUGUCCUUCCAGGCUGAGGGAGCAGGUGGAACUCAAAAUCCCAUUCUACCUCAAGUUCAGAUUUGUGCCAGACAGGGUUGCCAACAGCUGAGAAUGAUUUUUACAAAUAGUAUAAAAAAAUGACGGAUUUUCAGGCUUUUGGACUGACAUAAUUUUAGAGUCCUGGCCAAGAGCCACAGAGCAGAAGCGGUGCAGAGCAGGCAUUCCUGGCGCGGGUUUGGAUCAGGAAGGGCAGGGAGGGACAGCCUGGUCUCACAAGAGCAGGCCACCAGGCUCACGACAGACUCCGCCGGUGACAUGGCAAUGGCUGUGGCAACAGUACCACCCCCAGGGUUCUUUCUCAUGCUAUUCCCCCAGAGUAGCAGCCUGAGUUGUGGGGAGCAGUGAAGAGAGCAAAGCUUUCUUCAAUCCUAUAAUAUUCUUGAAGUUCAUUCUCACAGAUCUUCCCACAGGGGUGUUUCUUAUUGGAGAUUUUCCCUCUGGGGAAUGAUUCUGGGAGGAAAAAUCCCCUCAGAUUAAUUUUAAAUUAGAAAACAAAAGCCACAACCCUGAUUUCUCCCCGACCCCCUAGCUGCCCUGGCACAGUCAUCCCAGGGUCCCCAUGAAUGGGAUCCAACAACUCAUUGAGGCCUAGCUGACCUGCAGGUUCCAACCUGCAAUCUGACCAUUGAGGACUUACAGUGAAAAGGUCAGCCUAGCACACUUAUCUUUAUGGGGUGGAGGACAGUGGUCAAAGACAACUCUCUUUGUCCCUCUCCACACUGUGGGCCUCCCUAGCAUCACAUGCCCCCCCCCCAAAGUUAGGGUCUUCUUUAGACUGAGGGGUAGGAGCAGGGUUCAGGAAGGACGUGCUGAGUCCCUCCCCUCAUGAAUCAAUCAAUGGUAGUGAAUGGGCACUCACUCUGUAUGGAGCACUGAACUUAGCAAUUGGUGGAAUACAACACAGAAAGCAGACAGGAUCCCUGCCCUCAAAGAUCUUACCAUCUAAACUUAUCAGAGAGCAUGAGAGACCUUCUGAGGGUGAUUAUGGUGGGAUCCAUUUUCCCACUGGUUAGAGCAGACCAGGGGAAGGGGAAGAAGAUGUGGAGAGCAGGGCAGGUGUACCGGACUUAGCCCUCUGAGAGGACUGUGCGGUAGCAGCUCCUGCACACUACAACCUAGCUGCACACUUUGCUCCUUUAAAACCAACCUAUUAACUAUACUUCCAUCUUGUCUCUCUUAGUGCUGACCGCUUGCCCGCAUCCUCCCUCUGGUCCGGAAAUUUCUUCCUCUCCACAUUUGAUAGACCACCACUCUCCCCACCUUCGAACCCUUAUCAAAAUCACAUCUCCUUUCCCAACUAAGCCCUCAUCUCCUCCAUUCACUCUCCUUUCUGCAUGUGCCCUUGGGUCUGUACCCUUCUAGGACUUAAUAUUCACCCCACCCUCAGCCCCACAGUGCCUAUGUUCAUAUCCGUAAAUCUAUUUUCUGUCUACUCCUCUAGACUGUAAGUUCCUGUGGGCAGGGAACAUAUCUACCAACUCUGUUGUAUUGUACUCUCCCAAGCGCUUAGUACAGUGCUCUGCCCACAUUAAGUACUCAAUAAAUACCAUUAACUGACUGAUUGAUGGAUUGAGCCCUCUUAUCUCUGGGAUUCUUAUCCAAACAUCUCUCGCUAUGAGUUUG